GGGGACUGCCUGUCCAGAUCUGGAUCUGAGCAGGUUGACUGAGCUCCCGCCUAGAUGUCCUGCCAGCAAACCCAGCAGCCAUGCCAGCCUUCUCUUAAAGGGCCCACAACUAAGUGCCCCCCAAAGUGUCCCCCCAAGGACCCUCCCAAGAUGCCCUGCUCCAGUCUCUUCCUGCUGUGGCCCUAGCACCAGGGGUGUUGUGGUCUCAACUAACAGUGGCAUCAGAGCUCCAGCUGUUGCCAUUGCUUUGGGCCUGCUCCCCGCCUGGGCUCUGAGCAUCAGUUGAGUGACUGAGAGGCCAGUGACUGACCCUAGCCUUGUGCUUCUCUUCCUCAGUCCCUUUCCAUCCCUGAUGCGCUCUUACCUGC
rnacentral:lncRNA from 1 species